CUGGUGUACAUCCCUAACAAGAGGUCUAAGUAACAAGAGAUUGUAACUCAUAUCUUAACAUAAAUUACCUAAAUGGCUACAUAUAUAUAUUUCCAGUUACUUCCCAAUUGUACCUGAUCCAUCUUCCCAUAAAGCCGAGUUCUGAGAUUAAAGCACAUGCCUCUAAUCCACAUCCUACAAUCACCUUGACUCAAUGGCUGAACAACCCCUGGUGCAUCUGGUGAGG